GGCUUCGUGGUGUAGUGGUGAGCACGCUCAGCGCAUAUUCGAGAGGUCUGUGGUUUGAAUCCCGGCGAGGGCA
rfam:Stegodyphus mimosarum contig66073, whole genome shotgun sequence.